GACGAACGCUGGCGGCGUGCCUAAUACAUGCAAGUCGAGCGCAGGAAACUGACGGAACUCUUCGGAGGGAAGGCAGUGGAAUGAGCGGCGGACGGGUGAGUAACACGUAAGGAACCUGCCUCAAGGAUUGGGAUAACUCCGAGAAAUCGGAGCUAAUACCGGAUAGUUCAACGGACCGCAUGGUCCGUUGAUGAAAGGCGCUCCGGCGUCACCUUGAGAUGGCCUUGCGGUGCAUUAGCUAGUUGGGGGGGUAACGGCUCACCAAGGCGACGAUGGAGAGCCGACCUGAGAGGGUGAGCGGCCACACUGGGACUGAGACACGGCCCGGACUCCUACGGGAGGCAGCAGUAGGGCAUCUUCCGCAAUGGACGAAAGUCUGAUGGAGCAACGCCGCGUGAGUGAUGAAGGUUUUCGGAUCGUAAAACUCUGUUGUAAGGGAAGAACACGUACGAGAGGAAAUGCUCGUACCUUGACGGUACCUUACGAGAAAGCCACGGCUAACUACGUGCCAGCCGCCGCAGUAA
rnacentral:rRNA from 1 species